CUUUCUACAAGCUGGGCUCGUGUAGUGCUUUUGGAAGAAAAGCGGAAAGGGCUGACUUUCUCAGCAGCUGGGCAGAGCCAUCAGCAUCUGUUCUGAGAGCGACUCCAACAAGGCGUCGCCUCUGCGAGAACCCUUCAUUCCCCCACUGUCUGUGGUGCGGACCCUCAGCCUUUUGAGGAUGCCACUGGGGGCCCGAAACUAGAGGCUGGACAUGCCCCCCGCCCAUCUUUUACUGAAGAGAUGCU